UACGUAGGGUGCAAGCGUUGUCCGGAAUUAUUGGGCGUAAAGAGCUUGUAGGCGGUUUGUCGCGUCUGCUGUGAAAUUUCGGGGCUCAACCCCGAACUUGCAGUGGGUACGGGCAGACUAGAGUGUGGUAGGGGAGACUGGAAUUCCUUGUGUAGCGGUGAAAUGCGCAGAUAUCAGGAGGAACACCGAUGGCGAAGGCAGGUCUCUGGGCCAUAACUGACGCUGAGAAGCGAAAGCAUGGGGAGCGAACAGG
rnacentral:rRNA from 1 species